rnacentral:rRNA from 1 species
GAGCUUGCUCCUCUGACGUUAGCGGCGGACGGGUGAGUAACACGUGGAUAACCUACCUAUAAGACUGGGAUAACUUCGGGAAACCGGAGCUAAUACCGGAUAAUAUAUUGAACCGCAUGGUUCAAUAAUGAAAGACGGUUUUGCUGUCACUUAUAGAUGGAUCCGCGCCGCAUUAGCUAGUUGGUAAGGUAACGGCUUACCAAGGCAACGAUGCGUAGCCGACCUGAGAGGGUGAUCGGCCACACUGGAACUGAGACACGGUCCAGACUCCUACGGGAGGCAGCAGUAGGGAAUCUUCCGCAAUGGGCGAAAGCCUGACGGAGCAACGCCGCGUGAGUGAUGAAGGUCUUCGGAUCGUAAAACUCUGUUAUUAGGGAAGAACAAAUGUGUAAGUAACUAUGCACGUCUUGACGGUACCUAAUCAGAAAGCCACGGCUAACUAC